AAUAAGAUUUUUCAUGCCAUUUAUGUGUUACAGCGCGACCCAGAGGCCACACUCAGUAGUUUGUCUGUCAGCCAAAAACACAACCUGCAGAUGAGCCUACAGUAAGUUGUAUUUGUUGACUUAUGGUGCUGGUUAUGAGUCAGCGUCUGCCAUCGGUUGACUCACAGGAUGCAGACUGGAUCCAAAUAGCUCCCGGGACUUUUUCAUCCCACUUUAGAGUUUUAGAUUUAUUUUUGUUGUUUGACCAUGUGAACAAAUUUAUAUAUAUAAAAAUGGGGAUUUUUCAGUUUUGUGUUAGGGUUAGAGAACAAUUGUUAGAACAUAGCACACCGUAUUGUUUAAAUAUUAUGUUAUAUAUAUGUAUAAUUAAACAAUGCUUUUAGUGUUUUUAAAAUGA